rnacentral:rRNA from 1 species
GACGAACGCUGGCGGCGUGCUUAACACAUGCAAGUCGAACGGAAAGGCCCUGCUUUUGUGGGGUGCUCGAGUGGCGAACGGGUGAGUAACACGUGAGUAACCUGCCCUUGACUUUGGGAUAACUUCAGGAAACUGGGGCUAAUACCGGAUAGGAGCUCCUGCUGCAUGGUGGGGGUUGGAAAGUUUCGGCGGUUGGGGAUGGACUCGCGGCUUAUCAGCUUGUUGGUGGGGUAGUGGCUUACCAAGGCUUUGACGGGUAGCCGGCCUGAGAGGGUGACCGGCCACAUUGGGACUGAGAUACGGCCCAGACUCCUACUGGGGACAGCAGUGGGGAAUAUUGCACAAUGGGCGGAAGCCUGAUGCAGCAACGCCGCGUGCGGGAUGACGGCCUUCGGGUUGUAAACCGCUUUCGCCUGUGACGAAGCGUGAGUGACGGUAAUGGGUAAAGAAGCACCGGCUAACUACGUG